UCGAUACAAUUAUUUUUUCAUAUAUAAACUUCCUACUUGAGAACUUAUUUUGCUGGGCAAACACGGGUAUAAUCUUAAUUAGCGAAGACAGGUGCUUAGAUCUUAAAGAUGUAUCUAGAGAAAUGGAUGCUUCUUCUCAUAAUUUUGACAAAAGAUUUAAAUAGUGCGUGCCGAACAUCCGAAACAGCUUUUGGAUGGAUUGGUUCAUCGCCAGUAUUCAACUACACACUUGAUAUAAAUAUGGAUGGAACAUUCAGUAUUUUGUCUCCAACAAAUGUUAGUUUACUCCAAGUGGGCUAUUUCGGCGGAACUGUGUUCAGAGGACCAUUUUACAACAACUGUACUUUGGCCCCAGGAGGUUACAUAUCAUCGGGUUUUCUGAACAUUCAGUUAUAUCCACUGCAAGCAGGACAGCAGGGACCAUACCAAUAUCUUUUUGGACCCAAUGUACUGAAGUGCAUUACUCUUUAUAUAUAUGGUGUCCCAUCACAUCCCACUAUCGUUUUCAACGGCACGGUUGCAUACGAAGGAAGGUCACCG